UACGUAGGGCGCUAGCGUUGUCCGGAUUUAUUGGGCGUAAAGAGCUCGUAGGCGGCUUGUCGCGUCGUCCGUGAAAACUUGGGGCUCAACCCCAAGCUUGCGGUCGAUACGGGCAGGCUAGAGUUCGGUAGGGGAGACUGGAAUUCCUGGUGUAGCGGUGAAAUGCGCAGAUAUCAGGAGGAACACCGGUGGCGAAGGCGGGUCUCUGGGCCGAUACUGACGCUGAGGAGCGAAAGCGUGGGGAGCGAACAGG
rnacentral:rRNA from 1 species